CCAAGGCUAGAAAAAAAAAUAAAUAAAAAGGCAGCCUUCUUGAGUAAAAAAAAGCCAAGGCUUGAAAAAAUAUAUUGAGCGAAAAAUAGAAAUGAUAAAAGAAUGCUCAAAAGAAUAAGUUGACAUGGUUAGAUGGUCGAAAAAUCUCAUGUUUGGGGUGUUGAGCUGUGAGAAAUUUGUACGCAUUGACUGAGAUGUGAAAGAUGUUGUGAUGGAUGUGCUAGUAUUUUAAGAAUGGUGGUAAGCUACUUAACCAUAUAUUAUCCCACCUUUACCAAAAGCCCCAUUACAUCCCAAUGAAUAAGACCUUUUCAUUUAUGCAUCAUAUUGACUUGUGAGCGAUGAAUUUUGCUUGAAUUUGGGAGAAAGAUCUUAUGUGCUUAAAAUAAAGAAUAGCCGGAAGAACUUCUCUUUAGGAAUUAGUGACGAUGGUUUGAGACUCCCAAGACACAACUCGAACUUAUAUUGAAGCAUGGGAUGCCUAGGUCUUAGGGAAUUAGUUCGUGUACAAUUCUUGUUCGAAAGUUUUACCCGCGAGUGAAUUCAUGGUCGACCUAAUUUCCCUACUGAUUCGUUGGUGUGACUUGAAGGAGAGGAUUAUCUAAUAUCUUACGACUGUGCUUUAUUGUCUAACUUGCUCGAGGGCAAGCAAGACUUAAGUUAUGGGGGUGUUUGAUGUGAGUGGGUAAUUGUCUAACUUGUUCCUCGGAGUAUACAAUGGAAUGGAGGGUAGCGUAUUACUGCUCCAAGUCAGUUUUGACUACUUCGAUAUUAAGUGUCUCUCAGUUCAUACUAAAGCCAUCAAUGAAGAACUACUGCAAAAUCUUUCUGAUGCUCUACAUUUUUCGCUACGUGAUAAAAUUGGAGUUGGUCUUGCUGGGUCCAAAAUCUGAAGAUCACGAUACCGGGAUGUGUGGAAAUAAUUUCAGUUUGAGCCAGAUUAAAGAGCUGUGUGCCAAUCCUAUUGUAUUUGAGGCGACUGAGAUAAUUCAACAUAUUCUCGUGUUACUCUUAGUUGAUCUGAAGGGCCUCUCUAAGCAUUCAGAUUCAUUCUUGCAAAUGUUAUCUCUUGUGCAACUAAGGUGCUUUCUGUGAUAGUUCCUCGUGCAAAAAUAGACUAGAAUUUCUUAGUCGAUCUGAAGGCCGAAGCCCAACUACGUGGAAAUCACUUCUUCAGCGUUGUUAAAAACGCGCCGCACUUGGGUGAGCAAGAUCUGGGGGCGGCGGCCCGGUGGGGGCAAGUCGUGAGGCGGCAGGGGGCGACUGAGUUCUUAACUUAGAAGAAGCGGGGGGAAAGAGAAUAGAUCAAGUUUCUGAAAGAUGUUCAGGACCUCUCUCCUAGUCACAUUCAACCUUUGGGUUCACUUUUGAAUAUCUUUGUGGAAGCUUGUCCCACUAUUUUAAAGGUUGAGUCUAAGGCUGCGUAGCAAGCAUAACUCGGUCAUGUGUUGAGAGCGCUACUUCAGUGUUGAUAAGUUCUAGAGAUGUCCGUAAGGUUCUCGCUUCCGGUAUAGGGGUGUGAUCAUGGCACGACUGCUUACUUGCUUUUUACCCAAACAUGAGCUAAGUAGGAGCUAACUUCUAAAUGAGGCAAGACGAGAGAAGAAAUAACUAACCCCCAUCACCUAACUUCUAAAGCAAACAAGGGAGUAUUUUGUGUCCGCUCACAUUUUCUCGUCCUUCACAUAAAGGGCAAUGUUAAUAUUAAGAUUUGGGGUUAGGGUCUUUGUGCAUUUUGAUUAUGUGGCUGUAAAUAAUUUGAUUAAUUUCUCUCUGAUUUGUUGAUUCUGAAUUUUCCUUUUUCAGCAGUGUAUAUAACAAUGUGAAUACUAAAGAAGUUAUGUGUUUUUAAGUGGCAGGACUAUGCCACGAAGCCUGAUGUGAAUUGAUUCUGAAGUUUCCUUUUUCAGCAAUGUAUAUAACAAUGUGAAUACUAAAGAAGUUAUGUGUUUUUAAGAGGCAGGACUAUGCCACGGAACCUGACGAGAAACUUAUACA